rnacentral:rRNA from 1 species
GAGGAAUAUUGGUCAAUGGACGAGAGUCUGAACCAGCCAAGUCGCGUGAAGGAUGACUGCCCUACGGGUUGUAAACUUCUUUUGUAUGGGAGUAAAAAAGUGGACGUGUCCAUUAUUGCAAGUACCAUACGAAUAAGCAUCGGCUAACUCCGUGCCAGCAGCCGCGGUAAUACGGAGGAUGCGAGCGUUAUCCGGAUUUAUUGGGUUUAAAGGGUGCGUAGGCGGGAUAAUAAGUCAGCGGUGAAAGUUUGAGGCUCAACCUUAAAAUUGCCGUUGAAACUGUUUUUCUUGAGUAUAUUUGAAGUAGGCGGAAUUCGUGGUGUAGCGGUGAAAUGCAUAGAUAUCACGAAGAACUCCAAUUGCGAAGGCAGCUUACUAAACUAUAACUGACGCUGAAGCACGAAAGCGUGGGUAUCAAAC